AGGCCUAACACAUGCAAGUCGAACGGUAACAGGAAGCAGCUUGCUGCUUCGCUGACGAGUGGCGGACGGGUGAGUAAUGUCUGGGAAACUGCCUGAUGGAGGGGGAUAACUACUGGAAACGGUAGCUAAUACCGCAUAACGUCGCAAGACCAAAGAGGGGGACCUUCGGGCCUCUUGCCAUCGGAUGUGCCCAGAUGGGAUUAGCUAGUAUGUGGGGUAACGGCUCACCUAGGCGACGAUCCCUAGCUGGUCUGAGAGGAUGACCAGCCACACUGGAACUGAGACACGGUCCAGACUCCUACGGGAGGCAGCAGUGGGGAAUAUUGCACAAUGGGCGCGAGCCUGAUGCAGCCAUGCCGCGUGUAUGAAGAAGGCCUUCGGGUUGUAAAGUACUUUCAGCGGGGAGGAAGGCGACAGGGUUAAUAACCCUGUCGAUUGACGUUACCCGCAGAAGAAGCACCGGCUAACUCCGUGCCAGCAGCCGCGGUAAUACGGAGGGUGCAAGCGUUAAUCGGAAUUACUGGGCGUAAAGCGCACGCAGGCGGUCUGUCAAGUCGGAUGUGAAAUCCCCGGGCUCAACCUGGGAACUGCAUUCGAAACUGGCAGGCUAGAGUCUUGUAGAGGGGGGUAGAAUUCCAGGUGUAGCGGUGAAAUGCGUAGAGAUCUGGAGGAAUACCGGUGGCGAAGGCGGCCCCCUGGACAAAGACUGACGCUCAGGUGCGAAAGCGUGGGGA
rnacentral:rRNA from 1 species